AAGGGCAACAAAAAUGAGUAGGGAUAUGGAACAGCUUCUGUAUGAGGAGAGAUAAAAAGACUGGGAUUUUUCAGCUUGGAAAAGAGAGGACUAACGGGGGAUAUGAUAGAGGUCUAUAAAAUCAUGACUGGUGUGGAGAAAGUAAAUAAG